AAUUUUCCGCAAUGGGCGAAAGCCUGACGGAGCAAUACCGCGUGAGGGAGGAAGGCUCUUGGGUUGUAAACCUCUUUUCUCAAGGAAGAACACAAUGACGGUACUUGAGGAAUAAGCAUCGGCUAACUCCGUGCCAGCAGCCGCGGUAAUACGGAGGAUGCAAGCGUUAUUCGGAAUGAUCGGGCGUAAAGCGUCCGCAGGUGGUUAUGCAAGUCUGCUGUUAAAGAGUGGAGCUCAACUCCAUAAGGGCAGUGGAAACUGCGUGACUAGAGUACGUUCGGGGUAGAGGGAAUUCCUGGUGUAGCGGUGAAAUGCGUAGAUAUCAGGAAGAACACCGGUGGCGAAGGCGCUCUACUAGGCCGUAACUGACACUGAGGGACGAAAGCUAAGGGAGCGAAUGGGAUUAGAUACCCCAGUAGUCUUAGCUGUA
rnacentral:rRNA from 1 species